GGGGAUAUAGCUCAGUGGUAGAGCAUUUGCCUAGUACUCUGAAGACCCUGGAUUGCUGGUAAUCCCU
rnacentral:tRNA from 1 species